GACGAACGCUGGCGGCGCGCUUAACACAUGCAAGUCGAGCGAUGAAACUCUAACAGAACCCUUCGGGGCGAAGAUAAAGGGGAGUAGCGGCGGACGGGAGAGUAACACGUGAUUAACCUGCCUUAGACAUUGGGAUAGCCUCGGGAAACCGGGAGCAAUACCAAAUAAAAGCAUAAUGACACAUGUCAGAACGAGCAAAACGCCGGUGGUCUAAGAUGGACUCGGGUCCGAUUAGCUAGUUGGUAGUGUAAAAGCGUACCAAGGCGGCGAUGGGUAGCCGGCCUGAGGGCGUGCACGGUCGCGUUGGAACUGCGACCCGGUCCACACUGCUACGGGAGGCAGCAGUGGGUAGUAUUGCGCGAUGGAGCGUACUCUAGUGCCGCGACGUCGCGUGAACGAGGAUGGCUUUUGAAUCGUACUUUUCUUUUAUAUGGGGAGAUAAUGACGGUACCAUAAGAAGAAGCCCCGGCUAACUACGUG
rnacentral:rRNA from 1 species